GUUAGACGCCACGAGGGGCCGGUGGCCCGUGUCUCCUCCUUUCCCCUCGCUCCCGGGACCCCCGCCCGCCCCGCCUACGCCUUCCCUUCCCCUGCUUCUCUACCCCGAGACCCCAACUGGCGCGAAGGCUCUGUACCCAGUGUCCCGAUUCUGUUUUACUUGGGUAACUCCUUGCUCUGCGGGAAUGUAAUAAAUACUUUUUGUUGAGUUACAGGCCUGCGGUCUGGAGAGAGCAAGGACUUGAGGAUGAGCACGUAUCACGCGGGCCCCAGUCCCGCGACCACCCGACAAGGUUCUUUCUGGUCGCGGGACCCCAAGGGGCCGAAAGCUGGGGGCCCAGAGCGCAGACAGUAGGCCCUCUGCACCUGGGCUUCGGAUCCAUCACCGCGGGUUUGUCCUGCCCUUCAUGGUCCAAGCGUCUGGCACAUACAGCGCUCCGCUGUGUGCCGAGCCGGGUGACCGCUCCCAUCGGGGAGGAAGCUGAGCGCUCGUGGACACGGCAAAAGCCACAAAGGCGUUGUGAACCGGGCUGCUGGCAGGCUGUCCCCAGCUCCGGGAGCCAAUGGCUGACCGCCAGGAUCGCCCUGGCCGUUGGGAAGGCCACCUCCAACAAUAGUAUUCCAAACUGGUUGCUCUCGAUUUUUGAAGAGCCUGUGUUUCUCUUGAGGUUCCUGAGCUGAGUGGAGAAACACUGACCCUUGAGUUUCUCCUGCACCGUAGUGACUGAGUCAGGGGCGGGGCCGCCAGGCUUGGGCAGAGGAUGGAGUUACUGCGCCCAGUAUCCGACUGUUCAGUGUCCGGCCAUGUGCGCGCACUGCACCCAGGCCUGCGUGGGGCACAGACAGGGCCUCUGCGCCUGAGCGGCUGCUGUUCUAGGGGAGCAGGCUCGACAGACAUCAUUUUGUAAGAAACUUCCACUAAUGAGACUGAUAGGAAGAAUGACAAAGUGAGAGAGAUAAAUGGAGAGAGACAGGAAUGGGAGCCCUAGAUCAGGUGGUCAGCAGGUUCUCUGGACAGGUGACCCUUGAGCAGGGAGCUUAAGAACCACACCUUGUUCCAGGGAAGGAUGUCCCUGGCUGAAGUAGGUCAGUGCAAAGGCCAGAAGCAGGGGAUCCAGAGAAGGUCAGUGCGGCCAGAGAAGGAACAGGAGCACCCAGAGGGUGGGAGGGGUGGCUGGGUCUGGACCUGGGUUCUGACUUCAGCCUCGAUGACCUGGGGCACUUGAGAGGGUUUCUGGUGGGGAGUUUUUUUAUUAUGCUCAAAUUAUUUUCUCUUGGCAUAAUUUCAGAUCACCACAAAAGUGGCAAGAAUAGUGUGAGAAUUCCCAGAUUCUCACAGAUUCCCAGAUGUUAAACUUUUACUAAGAGAGUGUGAGGCAUCUGGAAAUGGGGUCUUUGAGGGUGUGAUCAACUCAAGAUGAGGUUGUACUCGACAAAGAAGGAAGUUCUAAAUCCAAUAAAACUGAUGUCCUCAUAACAGGGAAUUGUGGCCACAGAGCCAAGGAGGGGAGACAGCCACGUGAAGACAGAGGCACAGGCUGGAGUCAUCUGGGCACAAGACAAGAACACGGGCAACUAGCAGGAGCUGAAAGAGACGGGGGGACCCUCUGCCAGAGCCCUCAGAAGGAGUGAGGCCCCCAGGAUUGUGAGAGACAGGAGUCAACAUCAAGUCUUCUGAAACAUGCUGCCAUGGAGGAGAGAAGGAGUGGCAGAGUGGGUUUAACUGUUGACAUUAAUUGCUGCAUGUGGGCUUGGGGGCAGGUAUCUCCCUCCCCUCUCAUGUAAGCAUGUGGAGGAGUUUCCCCAGCCCGUCUCCACUGCUUCCUCUGUCCCAGAUGGAGUGGCAGUAUUUCUACAACUCUGACCAAACUCAGGAAGAAGAUCUAAAGUACUGUUUACUUUUUUAGAAGAAAAUUACGAUGAUUUACCUAGUCAAAGUGCCACUAAUUUAUCCAAAAUCCUCUACUGUUGUGAAAAAAAUACAGUAAUUUCAAGACAACAAACGAACAAAACUAUCACCCACAGAAUUGCUUUUUUAUAAUCAAAUAAAAAUUGAUGUCCGUG
ensembl:lncRNA